rnacentral:rRNA from 1 species
UACGUAGGGAGCAAGCGUUGUCCGGAAUCAUUGGGCGUAAAGCGCGCGUAGGCGGCCUCAUAAGUCCGUUGUGAAAGUCAAAGGCUCAACCUUUGAAAGCCGAUGGAUACUGUGAGGCUAGAGUCCGGAAGAGGCGAGUGGAAUUCCUGGUGUAGCGGUGGAAUGCGCAGAUAUCAGGAGGAACACCUAUAGCGAAGGCAGCUUGCUGGGACGUUACUGACGCUAAGGCGCGAAAGCGUGGGGAGCGAACAGG